rnacentral:pre_miRNA from 1 species
AGUACAAUUGCUAGAUAAUAUGGUAAGGGAGUGCUUAGUUUUGUAAGAAAUUGCCAAACUGUCUUCCAAAGUGGCUGUACCAUUUUGCAUUCCCAUCAGCAAU